CUCCCCUUGGUUGGGGGGUCUGUAGUAGACCCCCACCGUUAGAUCUCUCUCCCCAUGGCCCCCUUGUAUCUUGAAGGACCCAGGCGACUAUAGGCCCAUUCAUGCUUAAUUGCUGAGAGUAGUAGCAGUAUAUGGUAUAGAGGCAUUUUCAGAUCCCGUGGAACCUCUUGUCUGCUCUUUUGCAUGGCAACACCCCCCAAAUCCCUAACCUGGAUGAGUAAUCAUAUGCAAUAGCAACGUCAGCCUUUCAGCUCCGGGAACAAAUCAAAAGGGCUGAGUUUUGCUGGCAGGUAUAUUGGUUUUUAUUUUUUUGGUCAUGCUGCUUGGCACUUGUUUGGUUCUCCAUGACUUUCAAAUAUUCAGUCUCUUCCUCAUCUGAACUAGUAAAAGCUGGCUUUUACCCUGCCUGAAUUCCUUAAAUUCCUUCUUUAAGUUCUGGCAUCUCCUUUUAGAUGGUUCACUGCCAGUUUAACACAUCAAAAACUGAACUCCUAACCCAUCUCCUGAACUCAUUCUUCCUACCAUUCUCCAUCACCAUUAUCAAUUCUAUAGUUACAUCCUCUUUUCACUCCAGCCCAGAACGUUCUAGUCUGUUUGAAACUUCCCUCUCUUUACCUUGCAUGUCCAGGGGAAAUGCCAAACUUGCUGUUAUCUUGCUGGUUCUGAUAUUUGGCCUUUUCUUUGUGUCUAUGAUUCAAAGAACCCUAGAACAGAGGAGUUUGAUGUAAUAUUAAUUUAAAUAGUGACUAAGAUCAGUGAGCUUGCAGUUACCACACUGAUUACAGAGACAGUACGAAGGAAGAUGUGCAGUGUCAACUUUAGCCUCAUCACUGACAUCAUGGCCCUUGAUGUUAGCAAUUACACAGUAAUUCUCCUCAAACACCUCUGAAAGACCAGCAUUGAAUUUUCAUUUCUAUACUGAGAAUUUCCUGGGUUUUUACAACAUCCCCUGUUAAGCCGAAAGUGCCAUGUUUUUUACAACAUUCAUUCAUACAUUCAUCCAGUUUUUCAAAAGUUCUGUUAUAAAAUAUUUCCUUUUUGAAUUGCUAUUUUUUUUUAGUUGGGUUAAAAUUUUGUCUUUUGUGCAGGUGGUAAAGUGGCGCAGUAAUUUAGUCAAAUGUUCUCUCAGUACUGUCACUGAAGCAGCAGCAUGGAUUAGAGCCCUGCAGUGUGGAGAUGGUGCAGAAGCUGCGUGUGCCUUGGCUGCAGCAUUUGAAGAUCCCGGGUGCCAGGCAGUGUACCUGGUCACAGAUGCUCUCCUUGAGAGCGCUUCAGAGGAAAUCUGUCACUUUCUUAUAGAGACUGGGGAGUCACGCCCUGUGCAUACUGUAUACCUGGUGGGAAAUCCAGGUGAUUUUGAAAGCCACACACAAAAAAUAAUGGAAAAAGUAGCCAGACAGUCUGGAGGAUCCUUUCGGGUGAUCAGCCUCCACACAGCUAGUGCUUCAGAUGAGGACAGCUUGGAAACCUGUAAAAGAAGCUGGAAACUGGAAGAGGUGACACCAUGGAUAGAAACAGACACAUCCCACCACAGCUGAUCCACUUUAUUUGGUGAUAUGUUCCCCUUAUCUAGGGAUUCCCUGUGUCCCUUGCUGCCUUGUUAUCAGGAUCCAUGCCAGGUCCCUCACUGACCUGUGCUACACAUGGAGGCAGAGGUCAGAAUGGGUCUUGGCAUGGGACAGAGCAGCAGUGCAGCACAGUGUAAAAGUCAGGGAAUCCCUAGCACCCUGUGCCUCCACAGUGAAACCCAUUCCAGCCCAUGCUUCGCAUAGAGACAUGGGUCAGCACAGGUCCUAUUGUGGAAGCAUAGGACACUGGGAAUUUCCUGGCUCCAAUGCCACCCCAUGCCUCCUUGCCAGGACCCAUGCUGUCCUGUGCUUUAUGCGGAGGCACAGAUCAGCACAAGGCAGUGCAGAGGUGUGGAGUGAUGUGGGAACCAGAGAAUGCCUGGAGCCCCAUGCCUCCACUUGGGAUCCACAUAACCUGUGCUUCAUGCAGAGGCACAAGUCGGCAUGGGGCAGGGUGGAAGUGUGGAAUGGUGCAAGAGCUUAGGAAGCCCUGGUGCCUCCGCGCUGGGACCCAAGAUGACCCAUGCCUCCAAGUGAAACCUCAGCUUUCCCCACUUACCCCAGGGAAAUCCCCAGGGUCAUGUCUGGGUAAGUAGGGAAACCCUGACUUUCCCUGCUUACCGAAAUGCAUCCUCAGAGAUCCUGAUGGUAUAUCUCAAUAAGCAGGGAAAGCUAGGCAGAUGCUCCAGCAGCUUGAGGGGCCCAGUUCUGCCCAGGAAUUUCCAGGGUGGAUAGGAUUGGGCCCCUCGAGCUCCCGGAGCAGGCAGCUGAGAAUGCAGGUAGCUUUGGACAGUCCAUACUGUCCUGCCAUAAGCAAAUAGAUGUCUGCCACAGCAAAGAGGCACAAAUUAUUACUACCUUUUGUAGCAGCCGCAAAUUUGGGCGUUUUGGGCAUGGCAAAAAGUAUGGACAUCUGUUUGCUUUCACUUUGUGCUGCCAUAAAAAUGUUUAUAGUUUCAUAGCUGAUAGGGUCAGAAGGGACCUGAGCAGAUCAUCAAGUCCGACCCCCUGUCAUGGGCAGGAAAGAAUGUUGGAGUCAAAUGACCCCGGCUAGGUGAUUAUCUUGCCUCCUUUUGAAGACCCCCAGGGUAGGAGUGAGAACCACUUCCCUUGGAAGUUGGUUCCAGAUCCUAGCUGCCCUGAGUGUGAAGUAGCACCUCCUGAUGUCUAACCUGAACCUACUGUCAGUCAGCUUGUGACUGUUAUUCCUAGUUACUCCUGGUAGUGCUCGAGGGAAUAGGGACUCUCCCAUUCCCCGCUGGUCCCCCCUGGUAUGUUUAUAGAUGGCCACCAGAUCCCUGUCAGCCUUCUCUUGUGGAGGCUGAACAGGUUCAGGUCCUGUAUCCUCUCUUCAUAGGGCCUGCCCUGCUGCCCCCUGAUCACGCGAAUGGCCCUCCUCUGGACCCUCUCCAUGUUGUCCACAUCCCUCCUGAAGUGUAGUGCCCAGAACUGGACGCAGUACUCCAACUGUGGCCUGACCAAUGUCACAUAGAUGGGGAGGAUCACCUUCUUGGACCUGCUUGUGAUGCAUCUGUGGAUGCAUGACAAGGUGCGGUUAGCUUUACUGACCACGUCCUUCUAUUGGUGGCCCAUGUUGAUCUUGGAAUCAGUAAUGACUCCAAGAUCCAUUUCUGCCUCUGUGCUAAUGAGAAGGGAGUUUCCCAGCCUAUAGGUAUAUUGCAGGUUCUUUCUCCCCAGGUGCAGUACCUUGCACUUGUCAGUAUUGAAUCCCAUCCUAUUCUCAUCUGCCCAUCCCUGUAACCUAUCCAGAUCUAGUUGUAGCCUGUCCCUCCCUUCUAGCAUGCCCACCUCUCCCCACAUCUUAGUGUCAUCUGCGAAUUUGAACAAGGUGCUUUUCACCCCCUCGUCCAAGUCGCUGAUGAAGAUGUUAAACAGUGGGGGCCCAAGGACCAAGCCCUGGGGAACCCCACUGCCCAUGUCCCUCCAGGUCAAAAAUGACCCGUCCACCACCACUCUCUGAGUACAACCCUUCAGCCAAUUUGCAGCCCAUCUGACUGUGUAGGCAUCAAUGCCGCCAUCGCCUAAUUUUUUUAAUGAGAUUGAGGUGAGAUACAGUGUCAAAGGCUUUCCUAAAGUCCAGAAAAACUGUUGAAAAUGGGGACCAUGACUGGCCCUUUUCCAGUCCUCUGGCACCUGUCCAGAGCACCACAAGUGCUCGUAAAGCCAUGCCAGGGGUCCUGCAAUGACCUCUGCCAAUUCCCUCAGUACCUUGGGGUGCAGAUCAUCUGGACCUGCUGAUUUGAACACAUCCAGCCCCACCAGACGUUCCCUAACUAGGUCUUCUCCUUAGUCCUUCUGGAAUCCCGGUAGGGGGGGAUGUCCUGGUUCCUACUCAGAAAAACAGAAGCAAAGAAUUUGUUAAAAGAGGUCAGCUUUGUUGUCUGGUGCAACCACAAGAUUGCCAAGCGUGUCCUGCAAUCCCACAUUACCCGGUGCUUUCUUUUUACUCCCUAUGUAUUUAAUAAAGGACUUCUUGUUAUCUUUGAUCCUGGUCCU
rnacentral:lncRNA from 1 species